rnacentral:rRNA from 1 species
AUACGGAGGGGGCUAGCGUUGUUCGGAAUUACUGGGCGUAAAGCGCGCGUAGGCGGUUCGAUAAGUCUGAUGUGAAAGCCCUGGGCUUAACCUGGGAAUGGCAUUGGAUACUGUUGAACUAGAGUGCGGGAGAGGAGAGUGGAAUUCUCGGUGUAGCGGUGAAAUGCGUAGAUAUCGGGAGGAACACCAGUGGCGAAGGCGGCUCUCUGGACUGACACUGACGCUGAGGUGCGAAAGCGCGGGUAGCAAACAGGAUUAGAAACCCGAGUAGUCC